UACGAAGGGGGCUAGCGUUGUUCGGAAUCACUGGGCGUAAAGCGCACGUAGGCGGAUUGUUAAGUCAGGGGUGAAAGUUCCGGGGCUCAACCUCGGAACUGCCUUUGAUACUGAGGAUCUUGAGUCCGGGAGAGGUGAGUGGAACUGCGAGUGUAGAGGUGAAAUUCGUAGAUAUUCGCAAGAACACCAGUGGCGAAGGCGGCUCACUGGCCCGGAACUGACGCUGAGGUGCGAAAGCGUGGGGAGCAAACAGG
rnacentral:rRNA from 1 species